CAAUUAUUCAAUGACAUCUAAAUAGUGAAGAUUCUCUGUGUGGCUUGUAUCUGUUCCUUUAUUUGUUUUUGGCAUUUGGUAAUCUGUAUUUAAUAAUGUGAAAGUAUUUUUUCUAUCAGAGAAAUAAAAUGUGGUUUAAUUAAUAACUUGGAUAAAUACACACGGGACAACAAUGAUUGUUGGUUACAGAUAAGGACGCCAGGAGUGAUAUGAUAAAUCAGGAUAAUAGUAUGAUAAUGAAGCUUUCUAAAGGAUUUACCUUUCCCUCCAUCCUUCAAAACGUGUCAUGGAUACUUCUACUCUAUACAGUAAUUCUCCAAGUGUGUGCAGGAUAUAUCAUAAACGAAAAUGGUCAAUUAGUACCGUUCAAGAUCUACAAAAAAGGCG